GACAGAGGUGCCAAGCGUUAGGCGGAAUCACUGGGCUUAAAGCGUGUGUAGGCGGAAUGGUAAGUACCUUGUGAAAUCCCACGGCUCAACCGUGGAACUGCUUGGUAUACUGCUUUUCUUGAGCCACUUAGGGGCUGUCGGAACAAACGGUGGAGCGGUGAAAUGCGUAGAGAUCCGGAGGAACACCAGUGGCGCAGGCGGCUCUCUGGGUCGGCCCUGACGCUGAGGCGCGAAAGCGUGGGGAGCGAACGGG
rnacentral:rRNA from 1 species